rnacentral:lncRNA from 1 species
UGAAAUAUUUAAGAGCAGUUGAGCUGAAGUUAGAACUCAAUAUGAUCCACCAUGAAAACUUAUGGCCAUGCAGUGGCCAGGUCCCUAUGACAGACCUGGGGCUGAGAGGGUAUAACAGUAUUGGCAGAGGAGCUGGCUUUGAGAAGAUGAUGCAUGGUACUUAUGGUAGAAGCUAUGGAGACUAUGAUGAUUAUAGUGACUAUAGUGAUGGCUAUGGAUUUGGUUCAGAUAGAUUUGGAAGAGACCUCAGUUAUUGUUUUUCAGGAAUAUCUGACCACAGAAAGGGGAUGGUGGUUUCUACUUUCCAGAGUACAAUGGGACACUGUUUACACAUGCAGGGAUUACCAUACAGAGCUACUGAGGAUGACAUUUAUAAUUUUUUUCACCACUCAACCCUGUGACAAUACAUUUUGAAAUUGGUCUUGAUAGCAUAGUAACUGGUGAAGCAGAUGUUGAGUUUGCAACCUAUGAAUAUGCUGUUGCAGCUAGUUCAAAAGAUAAAGCAAAUAUGCAACAUAGCUAUGUGGACCUCUUCUUGAAUUCUACAUCAGGAGCAAGCAGCAGUGCUUAAGGAAGCCAAAU